GAUGAUCAAAAUUCCCAUUAGUUUAUGAGUGUGCUUCAGUAUGGUAGGAACCUGUGACAGCGGAGUUUGUGUCCCAUAGAAAGGCACUCGUAAACAAACCUUGGUGUCAUCAGUACAGGGGUCUAUUACAUUACCUGCUGGCGUUUUCAGGAAGGGCUGCUGCUAAUACCCGUUUCCUGUGCAAGGAAGACGUAUUUCUUUGCUUGUUGAUACCCAACACUGCGUCUUUGAUGUUCCCACACGACUCUUUGGCGAACUGCAGAAAUCUUCUUGAUCUUGGACUAGCGCUAAUUCCUUUCUCUUUUAGUUGCUGUUUUUUCUUUGGAGUAGCUUUGUGAAUUAAUCUUGUCAACACUUCUGUAUACUGUCUACUGUUUUUCGGCAUUGCUUGCUUGGCACGGUACACAGCCUUGCGAAAACUACCACUAGAGAUUGAUACAGGUAUCUGUUGUGCCUCUGACGAGUGUGUUAAUGGUGGUGUUGAUUUGAUGGAGGAUGUCCUUUUCUUCUUUUCGGCAUACUUUGCCCUGCGUUUUUCAUUGGUCAUCCGCUUUGCCUGUGCUGUUUGCUUUGCUCUUUGAUUCUGUUUCUGUCUUCUCCA